ACCAGUAACAAAUGAGAGUUCCUGCUAUUCCACAUCUUCACCAGUAUUUGCUGUUGUCGGUGUUCUAGAUUUUGGUCACUCUAAUAGAUUCUGCUCUGUAUGACAUGUGGAAAAAUGGAGAAAAUAUAGAAAAGUCAAUAGUAAAGGCUUUCAAGGCUGGACCUCCUGGAAAGUGUGGCUUGUAUUUUGUUUCUGAUUCUCCUCUUCCUGUUUUCUGUUCAACCCACUUCUUUUCAAGUUGUGGUAGCUACACUCCAGUGGCACUGCUUUUAUCAAGAUAACUGCACAACAAUGGAAAGAAUGAGACAAAUAGUUGACUUUUCAACAUUCCAUAAAAACUUUGAAGAUCAAAUCAGCAGUUCAAUAGCCUGAGAAGUUACAGGCAAUCACAGGAAGACGAGAGACAAACUUGGAACUCUUCCAAAAGACCCAAGUAAACAGAGAGGAAGUUUUGGAAGAUUGAAUCAGAGCCAGAAUAAACUAGGAUAUCUGUUUAAGAUGGAUAUUACAAAAGGAACUGAAAAAUGAUUCAGGGAGAUGUAUUUAGAUCUGGAAUCAGGAAAAGUUGUUUUAAUUAAACUUUUUAGAAUUAAGAUAUUAACUUGCAUCAGUAUUAAUUUACAUGAGAGACUAUUAAGGAUAUACAGAAAAGGUAUUUGACUAAUAACACCUUUUU